CUGCACAACCUGCAACGUAUAACCUCGCUGCCGGGAUAAAGGCGACCUUACAUGCAUUUAUAUAGCGCCGGCAGAUUCCAUGGCGUCGCGGCGAGGAUCGUUUAAAAUGAAUUGCAUUGGUGCGGGUAUUGAUACUUAAUGCAGCUCUGAAUCAUCGUCAAUCUUACGGACGAACCUCCCGCAACCUGUUCGCAUGCAGCUGGCAGCGACUCGAGUCGCCCCUCGGACGGAGGGUCUUGGGUCAGAAUCUCAAGAAAAACAACAUUUUACCAAAACGACAGAAAACCAAGAAAACAAAUAUCCAGGAAGCAUGAAAACCCGGAACACUGAGAGCCGAGACCUUUCCCCUCGCACUCCGAGAGAGGCCGGCGGGGCGAAGUAAUGAUUAACCGCAGUCUCUGCGGAAUCACACGGCCCCGGCGCUCACGUGGCGAGACAUGCUGCACGGCGCGUCUCUCCCCGCUGCGCAGGGGACCUGGCUGGACUAACUCUUACGUUUGCAUAAUAAUCCUUCCUUAAAUCUCCUUUGUCAUCUAAUAAGAAGCUCACGACAGCACCGACAUACUGGGGGAUGCUUUAAAAGAGUCCCGAGGUCACCUGUGUUCAAGCAGGGACUUAAGCUGCGAGAAAAGCAUCAAUCAGGAUGAUUUAAUGACAUUUCGGACAAUUUCUCUCUUGAUAACGUGCGAGUUGUAUCCCGACUAACAAAAGAAGAGUGUUGGAAAUAUAGCAAUAAAUUAAUAUUUCAAUUAAAAGACAAAAAA